rnacentral:lncRNA from 1 species
UGGCACCAGUACUCUUCUGAUCAUCUGUAACCCACAGCUCCAUGACCGAUCUGUAGAGCGAGCCCCUCUUUUGCUGAUAUUUCUGUUACUUGCUAU